rnacentral:lncRNA from 1 species
CAGGAAUGCGUUCUCAACACAGCGAUUUCCUGAAUACCCAAGAGACUCAGGCAGUAAAAGGCUGAAGGCCAGACAACAAGGCACUGGAUCUAGGACAGGGGAAAAUGGCUGCUCCGUUUUCGAGAUCCGUCUGGGCAGCUGACUUUGCAGAUGGGAUCUACUGGUUGCAUUUCUAAGCUUGAGAGAUCAUCUUCUCUUUACCUUGAAGAUGCAAUGGAAAUGAUGCCUGGAUGACAGUGGUGGGACCAAUCUCCAACACUCGGCUGGAUACCUCUUCUACCAAAUCAGGUCUGGAAACAGACACUUGAGCAAGAGGUGUUGGAACCAGUGUUUAAAUUGUGAAAGAUCAUUGCUUCAAGAUGCUGGGACGGCUCUGACAACGAAGAAGGAAAGACAUCAUGGAAGAUUUUUUUUCUCCACAGAAGAAAAGAACACUGACAGCAAGAAAAAUAUCUGUGUGUUCUCUAAUAAGAAGAGGCUAAGUAAUUGAUCUGGCAAAGGAGAAUUCAGCUUCUGAUUCUUUCACUUGGUUACACUGGAAGAAAACACCUAUAGACCCAAUGGGUGAGUUUAUCAAAUGCUGCCUUCUUCCGCUGAAACUCUAACAUUGAUGUGGGCUUAGUUUUGUCGUAGAUGGUCAAGUGAGCCAGAGGAAGAAUUUUCA